UUGCUGGACGCUGUGUGUCAGCAGCCGCGGUAAUACGUAGGGGGCAAGCGUUAUCCGGAUUUACUGGGUGUAAAGGGAGCGUAGGCGGUAUGGCAAGUCUGAUGUGAAAGCCCGGGGCUCAACCCCGGGACUGCAUUGGAAACUGUCAGACUUGAGUGCCGGAGAGGUAAGCGGAAUUCCUAGUGUAGCGGUGAAAUGCGUAGAUAUUAGGAGGAACACCAGUGGCGAAGGCGGCUUACUGGACUGUAACUGACGCUGAGGCUCGAAAGCGUGGGGAGCAAACAGGAUUAGAAACCCCCGUAGUCCGGACUACUAAGGAA
rnacentral:rRNA from 1 species